UACGUAGGGACCGAGCGUUGUCCGGAAUCAUUGGGCGUAAAGAGCGUGUAGGCGGCCACUUAAGUCCUGCGUGAAAUCCUGCGGCUCAACCGCAGGCGGUCGUGGGAAACUGGGUAGCUAGAGUGCGGGAGAGGAGAGUGGAAUUCCUGGUGUAGCGGUGGAAUGCGCAGAUAUCAGGAAGAACACCCGUGGCGAAGGCGGCUCUCUGGAACGCAACUGACGCUGAGACGCGAAAGCGUGGGGAGCAAACAGG
rnacentral:rRNA from 1 species